rnacentral:rRNA from 1 species
GAUGAACGCUGGCGGCGUGCCUAAUACAUGCAAGUCGAGCGAACAGACGAGGAGCUUGCUCCUCUGACGUUAGCGGCGGACGGGUGAGUAACACGUGAAUAACCUACCUAUAAGACUGGGAUAACUUCGGGAAACCGGAGCUAAUACCGGAUAAUAUAUUGAACCGCAUGGUUCAAUAGUGAAAGACGGUUUUGCUGUCACUUAUAGAUGGAUCCGCGCCGCAUUAGCUAGUUGGUAAGGUAACGGCUUACCAAGGCAACGAUGCGUAGCCGACCUGAGAGGGUGAUCGGCCACACUGGAACUGAGACACGGUCCAGACUCCUACGGGAGGCAGCAGUAGGGAAUCUUCCGCAAUGGGCGAAAGCCUGACGGAGCAACGCCGCGUGAUUGAUGAAGGUCUUCGGAUCGUAAAACUCUGUUAUUAGGGAAGAACAAAUGUGUAAGUAACUAUGCACGUCUUGACGGUACCUAAUCAGAAAGCCACGGCUAACUACGUG